UACGUAGGGUGCAAGCGUUAAUCGGAAUUACUGGGCGUAAAGCGCGCGUAGGUGGCCCCGUAAGUCCGCUGUGAAAGUCAAAGGCUCAACCUUUGAAAGCCGGUGGAUACUGUGGGACUAGAGUACGGAAGAGGCGAGUGGAAUUCCUGGUGUAGCGGUGGAAUGCGCAGAUAUCAGGAGGAACACCAAUAGCGAAGGCAGCUCGCUGGGACGUUACUGACACUGAGGCGCGAAAGCGUGGGGAGCGAACGGG
rnacentral:rRNA from 1 species